CUCUUUAGUGUAGUUGGCAGCGUGUCAGUCUUAUAAGCUGAAAGUCCUGAGUUCAAUCCCCAAAAGGG
rnacentral:tRNA from 1 species